UUCAAAGACCAAAUUGUGUUUAAUAUUUUCAUUUUAAUGGCGAAGUUAUCACCAAUUUUUCAUUUGUUUUUGGUUGUGCUUAUCAUUUUCGCAUCAGGGAAGAAGACGAUUCAGGCGGACGCAAAGACAUGCACAAUAGGUUUUGAUUGCCAGAACGAGGAAUAUUGCAAGGAAAAAUGCGGUUCCACGUACCAUGGAGAAGGAGAGUGUGUACAAUGGGAUGUUCCUAUCCAAAGGCAAUGUAGAUGUUAUUAUCAUUGUUAGAAGGAACCACCACCUGUAUCAUGAGAACUGAUUACAACAAAUGAAAAAAUAAGGCAGAAGAGAUCGUAGAUGCCAAUAUGUUGUAUGUUUUCAUUGUAAUGCGACAGUUGCGACUUGCUGCAAAUUUCCUUUCUCUUUGGCGUAAAUUGUCAAUAUGGAACUGAAUUACAGUUCUGCAUGGAUUA